GUGCUCACUUUGGCAGCACAUAUAGUAAAAUUGGAACGAUACAGAGGUUAGCAUGGCACUUGCACAAGGAUAACAUGCAAAUUUAUGAAGCGUUCCAUAUAUAA